rnacentral:lncRNA from 12 species
CCUCACCCGCACCCGCCCCGCACCCGCUCGCACGCCCUGGCCGCCCCUGCUCGCCCGCCGCGCCGCCCGCUGACAACUUGCCGGCUCCGCAGCCGCCCCAAGGGCCCGGUGGCCCGGACCCCCCCCCCCCGUGCCCGCCUGCACCUGCACCUGCACCUGCACCUGCACCCGCCGGGCCCAGGUCGGGACCCCCCCGCCCCGCUGCCCACCUGCGCGCCCGCCUGCGCCUGCACCUGCACCCGCGGGGCCCGAGCCGGGACCCCCCGCCCCCCCCAGGCCCCGCGCCCCGCGCCCGCCGAGGUCGCAGCCGGGGACCCCCGCGUGGCGGCGCCGGGCCCUCGGGGUGCGCUCCCCGCCGCCGUGCACCGCCCCCGCCGGGCUCUGGCUCGGGCUCGGGCUCGGGCUCGGGCUCGGGCUCCGGCUCCGGCUCCGGCUCCGGCUCCGGCUCCGGCCGCGCGUAACAGGUCGGGGCUCCGCAGGCCGCCGCCGAGCCGAGACGCGCCGGGACCCCCCGCCCGCAGGGACCGCGGCCGCCCACCCCCCCCCGGGAAGCCUCGGAGCGCGGGGUCGGCGGCCCUGCCCGGGGCGCGGAGCGGCUGCGGGGGACCCCGUGCGAGCGGCCGGACCGCGUUGAGCGAGCGUCGCGCCGCCGGGGCUGCUGGAGACGCGGGGUCGGGCCGCUCAGUGCGCGGGGCGGGGGGCAGGGGCGCGGGGGGCGGGGGCUGCAACUUCACGCCGCUCCUCGCCCGGGGCCGCCUCGGUAGGAGCCGGAGCCCACGUCCCUGGCGGAGCUGCGGGUCCCGUCCUGGCCGCGCGGUGAGCAGGACCCCGCGGGGGGCGGGGGGCGGGGGCGCGACCGGGGAGACUGGGGCGCCUGGAGCCGGGCUGCGGGGGCCGGGUGCGGGGACCGGGGAGCCGGGGUGCGGGGACUGGGCGGACUGGGGGGACUGGGCUGGGCUGCGGGGACGCGGUGCGGGGACGGGGUGCGGGACCGGGAUGCCUGGAGCCGGGCUGCGGGGACGGGCUGCGGGGACCGGGGACCGGGUGCAGGGCUGGGGGCACCGGGUGCGGGGACCGGGGACCGGGCUGCGGGGAGCCGGGCUGGGGGGACCUGGAGGGCGGGGGGGGGUGCGGGGACCGGGCUGGGGGCCUCGGCCUCUGCGGUCAGCCGCCCCCGCCGCGCCGCGCCCGCGCCCCGGCCCCGCGGUGGGAGCUCUCCAACUGGGAAAGUCUCCGUGGGCAGAGCUUUACGUAAGAUGCCCGAGCCGGCUGCCCGGCCUCCCGCCGCCCGCGCCCGCUGCGAGCGCCCCAGGUCCCGGCCCUGCUGCGCCCAGGCUCGCGGGGACCCUGCGGGGCGCGGGGCGCGGGGCUCGGGGGCGCCCACCGGGCCGUGGCCGCCGGGGACGAUGCUCUCGGAGGGCCCGCCCCUCCCCGCCCCUCCCCGCCCCUCCCGCUCAGGCGGCUCCGCGAGACCGCGCGGUCCAGGCACGUGCUGCAGCCCCCCGAGCUCCGCGGCCGGAAGACCUGCUGGGUCCGCCCGGCCCAAUGAAUGAUAAGAUUCCGUGA